GUUGACCGCCUGGGGAGUACGGCCGCAAGGCUGAUACUCAAAGGAAUUGACGGGGACCCGCACAAGCGGUGGAUGAUGUGGUUUUAUUCGAUGCAACGUGAAAAACCUUAUCCCACCUUUGACAUGUACGGAAUCCUUUAGAGAUAGAGGAGUGCUCGAAAGAGAACCGUAACACAGGUGCGUGCAUGGCUGUCGUCAGCUCGUGUCGUGAGAUGUUGGGUUAAGUCCGCGCCAACGAGCGCGAAACCCUUGUCACUUAGUAUGCUACAUAUUAGUAUGGGCACUCUAGAUGAGACUGUCCGGUGACAUAAUCCGGAGGAAGGUGGGGAUGACGUCAAGUCCUCAUGGCCCUUAUAGGUGUGGGCUACACACGUCAUACAAUGGCUGGUACUAAAGGGUUGCCGAACCCGUCGCAGGGGGAGCAUAAUCCCCAUAAUGAACCAGUCGUAGUCCGUGCAUCGUCAGGUCAUGCGCAACUCGCACUGUCGGUGCGUAGCUCGCUCCAACGUCAUAGUGGAUCGGU
rnacentral:rRNA from 1 species